CCCCCCCCCCCCCCGGCAAGGACAGGGUUAACCCGGGGACACCCCCCCCCUCCCCCCCCCCACACACACAGGAGGGGUUUGGGCCCCCCCCGUUUUCAUUUGGAGGGGGGGGGAGGGUGGGGUUAUGUGUGAGCCCCCACCAGCCACGCCCAGGCGCAUCACGUGACCCCCCCGCGUGCGUCACGUGACAUGCGUGUGGGCCCCCCCCCCUCCCCUCUGCCGCCCCCCCCUUUCCCCCACACGUGUGUGCCCCCACCACCAGCACCGCCCCCCCCAUUGCACACGCGUGUGCCCCCCCUUGCUGCAGGACAGCGAGAGGGCCAGGGCCCCCCCCCUUUCUCCCCUCUGCCCUUCCCCCCCCCUCCCCCCUCCGCCCCCCCAUUUUUUUAAUUAAGUGCAAUUACCCCCGGGCAAGGCCCCCCCCUUCCCCCCCCCCCACCACACAAACAAUUUUGGGGUCAAACUCCCACACUUUGGGGUCAAACCCCGCCCCCCGCCCGGGUUUAGGGUCAAACCCCCCAGGUUGGGUCAGCCUCCUCCCCCCCCCCCCCCCAGUGAAAGCCCCCCCUCCCCUUUGUGGGGUCCAACCUCUCAUUUUAGGGUCACCCCCCCCCCAUUUUAGGCCUCCCUCCCUUUAUUGGGGGGAGCUGCCCCCACUUUGCCCCCCCCCCACUGUUCUGCGUUUUGGGGUCACCAGGCUGGGUUGGGGGGCGGGGGGGGGGGGGGGGUGACAGUGUGUGUGGGGGGGGUCAAUGUGGGGGCAUUCCGCUCAUUUUUGGGUCUUUCCCACCCCUUUGGCUCAUUGCUGGGGGGGAUGGGGAGGUUAGGAGUGAGGGGGGGGGGCUCAUUUUGGGGGGGGCUCCGAGGGACCAAACCUGCUCCUGCCCCCCCUCCCCCCAAACCCCCCCCGUGUGCCUUUCCCCACAGUCUGGUGAUGCCCCCCCCCACCCCAGACAAGCAGUUUUUGCCCCUCCCGCAUUUUGGGACCCCCCCCCCCACCGUCCCCCCACCAGCAGUGCCCCCAACCCCCCCCCCCCACAAUUUUUGGGGUCCUCCCUAUCUUGGGGUCCCCCACCAGGAGACCCCCACCAGCAUUGGGCCCCCAACAUUUGGGGACUGUCCCUCCCCCCCCCCCCCCCCCCAACCCUCCCCACCAGCAAUGUGCCCCCCCGGUUUAGCCCCCCCUCCCCCCCCCCCUCCCCAACUUUGGGGGAUCCCC
ensembl:lncRNA